UACGUAGGGUGCGAGCGUUAAUCGGAAUUACUGGGCGUAAAGCGUGCGCAGGCGGUUUUGUAAGCCAGAUGUGAAAUCCCCGGGCUUAACCUGGGAAUGGCAUUUGGGACUGCAAGGCUCGAGUGCGGCAGAGGAGACUGGAAUUCCUGGUGUAGCAGUGAAAUGCGCAGAUAUCAGGAGGAACACCGGUGGCGAAGGCGGGUCUCUGGGCCGUAACUGGACGCUGAGGAGCGAAAGCGUGGGGAGCGAA
rnacentral:rRNA from 1 species